GGAAGCUCUGGUGGAAAGUUAGAAAAACUAUACCAGAUGUAGAAAAUUAAUAGAUGGAAAAACUUAAGCUGCUCUGGAUGACAGGGAAGAAGAAACAUGGGUCAUUUCUAGUCAGCUAAUCAUCCACUGAGGAGUUCCUGAACCAGGAGAAACCACACAGGAAUGAGGCCAAGAGAAGUGGUUUUUGUCUCAUUGAUUGCUGUGCCUGGUUCCCAUUUUAUCCAGCCUUAUCUCAGAGAGCAUUUCCUGAACACAGUCAUCUCAGAAUGGGAAAAGAAAUAUAAUCAGGAUAUAACAGCUUUCCAAUACUCAUUGGAUUCUCUGCCUGGAAAUUUCCACUUUCAGAGACUCAUUUUUUAAAGUUAAUACAUUAGCCUCUUUUGGAAUUCAGAUGCCUUUGGGAAUAAA
rnacentral:lncRNA from 1 species